rnacentral:rRNA from 1 species
GAUGUGGGGGAUAACCAUUGGAAACGAUGGCUAAUACCGCAUGAUGCCUACGGGCCAAAGAGGGGGACCUUCGGGCCUCUCGCGUCAGGAUAUGCCUAGGUGGGAUUAGCUAGUUGGUGAGGUAAGGGCUCACCAAGGCGACGAUCCCUAGCUGGUCUGAGAGGAUGAUCAGCCACACUGGAACUGAGACACGGUCCAGACUCCUACGGGAGGCAGCAGUGGGGAAUAUUGCACAAUGGGCGCAAGCCUGAUGCAGCCAUGCCGCGUGUGUGAAGAAGGCCUUCGGGUUGUAAAGCACUUUCAGUCGUGAGGAAGGUGGUAGUGUUAAUAGCACUAUCAUUUGACGUUAGCGACAGAAGAAGCACCGGCUAACUCCGUGCCAGCAGCCGCGGUAAUACGGAGGGUGCGAGCGUUAAUCGGAAUUACUGGGCGUAAAGCGCAUGCAGGUGGUUUGUUAAGUCAGAUGUGAAAGCCCGGGGCUCAACCUCGGAAUUGCAUUUGAAACUGGCAGACUAGAGUACUGUAGAGGGGGGUAGAAUUUCAGGUGUAGCGGUGAAAUGCGUAGAGAUCUGAAGGAAUACCGGUGGCGAAGGCGGCCCCCUGGACAGAUACUGACACUCAGAUGCGAAAGCGUGGGGAGCAAACAGGAUUAGA